rnacentral:rRNA from 1 species
AGCGAACGCUGGCGGCGUGCUUAACACAUGCAAGUCGAACGGUGAACGAGGGAGCUUGCUCCCUCCGGAUCAGUGGCGAACGGGUGAGUAACACGUGAGCAAUCUGCCCAGGACUCUGGGAUAAGCGUUGGAAACGACGUCUAAUACCGGAUACGAGACGCGAAGGCAUCUUCAGCGUCUGGAAAGAACUUCGGUCCAGGAUGAGCUCGCGGCCUAUCAGGUAGUUGGUGAGGUAACGGCUCACCAAGCCUACGACGGGUAGCCGGCCUGAGAGGGUGACCGGCCACACUGGGACUGAGACACGGCCCAGACUCCUACGGGAGGCAGCAGUGGGGAAUAUUGCACAAUGGGCGCAAGCCUGAUGCAGCAACGCCGCGUGAGGGACGACGGCCUUCGGGUUGUAAACCUCUUUUAGCAGGGAAGAAGCGAAAGUGACGGUACCUGCAGAAAAAGCACCGGCUAACUACGUGCCAGCCGCCGCCGUAAAAC